GCAUGGCAGAAUUCUGUUCCAGCCUGUAUGUGGUGGAUACAGUCAGACACCAUGCAAAAGUCUCGUCUCAUUUCUACUAAAUGAUAGGAUGUGAGCUGUGCUGGGCCUCAUCUAACUGCAGGAAUGAGUACAUUG